AGUUAAAAUUGUAAACAGGGAAUCUUACCGAUUGAGUUGAAAAGAGACGGCAGAGGGAGUCGCCGGCGGUAGAUUUCUUCGACGGAAUGCGGAGGCCACGCGAUACGCACCGCCACAUCUCUAUUUACUUCUGUAUAAUGUAAGCGAUGGUUUAUAUCAGAUUGUGAUUGUGAAUGUAAAUGCGUGUAUCUGAGUUUCGUUUUUAUGGGAAACGAUGAAGGGAAAAUGGACAUUGGAAUGGGAAAGGGACUAAUAU
rnacentral:lncRNA from 1 species